rnacentral:misc_RNA from 1 species
AACAUCGCGCACCUGCGGGAACCUGCGGAAGGAUCAUUAAUGAUUGGUGGCUGUUGCUGACUAGUGUUUCUAGUAUGUGCACGCCACACCUUCAAUCCCACUUACACCUGUGCACCUUCUGUAAUAGAUCUAUGUGGAUACGAAGAUAUGAAAGUUUGCGCUCUCGUACUCUGUUGAAGCAGUCUACUACGUUUUUUUACACACACACAAUAGUCAUUGAAUGUAUUUUUUAUUCUUAUG